GCACUGUCUAUUGCUCUACCUAGAGCCAUCGACCACACUCCAGGAACCCAGACAGAAUGGAUGGACGAGGUCCCAGCUGCUUUCACACCGUUCUACAAAUGGCUUUUAGAAACAUGUUUCCAUCAGUCAGGUCCCUAGAACCAGAAUGGGGUGUGAGGUGAAGAGGGCACCAAGCCUGUAGGGAAGAGGCUGGUGCCUCUCAUGGGCAAGAGGACCCGGAUGCAAAUGGGGCCACCUGAGCACAGAAUUCUGGGAUUGCAAGUACCCAGCACAUGAUUGAUCU